ACGGACAUGGUGGCCGAGACCGGUGGGGUGGGGGACGUGUCGCGCGGCCGGGUGGCCUCGGUCGGUACCCUGGGCGCGGAGCAGCUGCCUCAUUAGUAUUCGUACCCACGAGGCGGCGCAGCGGGCCCUCGGGGAGAGCGAGCGUCGCGGCCAUGGCUUAUCACUCGGGCUACGGAGCCCACGGCUCCAAGCACAGGGCCCGGGCAGCCCCGGAUCCCCCUCCCCUCUUCGAUGACACAAGCGGUGGUUAUUCCAGCCAGCCCGGGGGAUACCCAGCCACAGGAGCAGACGUGGCCUUCAGUGUCAACCACUUGCUUGGGGACCCAAUGGCUAAUGUGGCUAUGGCCUAUGGCAGCUCCAUCGCAUCCCAUGGGAAGGACAUGGUGCACAAGGAGAACUGGGAAGUGCAGUACAGUCGUGAUGCUCCUCUGCCCCCCCGGCAAGACCUCAACGCCCCUGACCUCUAUAUCCCCAGUGAGUCUCCAACCUGGGCUGGGGAACGUGGUGGGGUGGGGUCGGGGGGGACUUGUGCCUUGAGGGAUGAAUGGGAAGAGAAGCUCAGCUACUGAGUCAGCAUCUGUUCUUGGUGCUUUGUGUAUGUGUGGCAGUUGCAAGACACCAGGCAGGCAGUGCAGGGUGACCAGUAAGGAGCUUCCUGAAUGUGCCUUCAGUGUCCCCAGGACACCCUUUUGAGACCUUCCUGUCUCUUGAUUUGGACUAUAUCCCUCCCCAGCCUGGAGCUCUGGGUUUAGACCUGGCUUUGCAGACUCCAGCUAUGGGAUUUCAGGCUGGUUAUUUGUACUUUUCAGUAAAACAGGACUAAUGUAGUCCCUACCCCAAAGGACUGUUGGAGAGAUUCA
rnacentral:sRNA from 1 species